rnacentral:tRNA from 1 species
AACCCCGUGGUGUAGCGGUCAAGCAUACCGGCUUCUGGAGCCGGAGGCGGAGGUUCGAAUCCUCCCGGGGUUA